GACGAACGCUGGCGGCGUGCUUAACACAUGCAAGUCGAACGGAAAGGCCCUGCUUUUGUGGGGUGCUCGAGUGGCGAACGGGUGAGUAACACGUGAGUAAACUGCACUUGACUUUGGGAUAACUUCAGGAAAAUGGGGCUAAUACAGGAUAGGAGCUCCUGAUGCAUGGUGGGGGUUGGAAAGUUUCGGCGGUUGGGGCUGGACUCGCAGCUUAUCAGCUUGUUGGUGGGGUAGUGGCUUACCAAGGCUUUGACGGGUAGCCGGCAUGGGAGGUGGACCGGCCACAAGGGUACUGAGAUACGGCCCAGACGCCUACGGGAGGCAACAGUGGAGAAUAUUACACAAUGAGCGGGAGCCUGAUGUAGCAACGCCGCGUGCGUAAUGACGUCCUUCGGGUUGUAAACCGCUGUCGCCUGUGACAAAGCGUGAGUGACGGUAAUGGGUAAGGAAGCACCGGCUAACUACGUG
rnacentral:rRNA from 1 species